rnacentral:rRNA from 1 species
GACGAACGCUGGCGGCGUGCUUAACACAUGCAAGUCGAACGGGCUCUGUCUGGCUGUGUGCUGGGUGGGGUUAGUGGCGAACGGGUGAGUAAUACGUGAGUAACCUGCCCUCUUCUUUGGGAUAAGCCUUGGAAACGGGGUCUAAUACUGGAUAUUCCUGUCUGGUCGCAUGGCUGGGUGGGGAAAGUUUUUUUCGGUGGGGGAUGGGCUCGCGGCCUUUCAGCUUGUUGGUGGGGUGAUGGCCUACCAAGGCGUCGACGGGUAGCCGGCCUGAGAGGGUGACCGGCCACACUGGGACUGAGAUACGGCCCAGACUCCUACGGGAGGCAGCAGUGGGGGAUAUUGCACAAUGGGCGCAAGCCUGAUGCAGCGACGCCGCGUGGGGGAUGACGGCUUUCGGGUUGUAAACCUCUUUCGUCGGGGGACAAGGCUCUGCUUGGUGGUGGGGUUGAGGGUACCCGGUGAAGAAGCGCCGGCUAACUACGUG